AGUCAAGGAAAAUUUGAGCUAUCUGCAACUUUUAAAAAUUGAGUAAAGUAUAUUCCUGUGAAUAAAAUUUGAAGGUAGUUGUUUCUCCUUACCUGGUUUCUCCAGAAUUUGGAAACUAUUUGCCAUCAAACUCCAAAUGUUCAUGCAACUGGAGCCUCAUAUUAUGGCUGCCAUUUACCAGAGACCCUUAGAUAGGCAUAUGAGAGAGAUCUGACUGCUCUCUUUCCAAAACAGCUUACCUGUCAGCAGAAAGCAGAUAAGAGUGAUCACCAUCCUUUUCCUAAGGGCAGUGUACCUCUUGAUAGGGGAAAAUUAAUAGUGGCAGGAGACAGACAAAUGCCUAGGCAGAUAGGGGCACUUCCCUGGUAAAACCCUACCUUCAAGCCAAAAACAGCCUGAAGACUGAAAAACCAGACUGCUGGUUCCUGAUGAAAAACACAACCUGGAGUGAGAAAUUCUGUUUCUGUUUUCCUGCCCUUUUCCAUUUGGUUAUUUCUGAAUUAUACUUUUUAAUCAAUUGAAUGUUGCUUUUUCCAAGACUACCUAUGGCCUGCCCCACCCCCAUCCUGUGCCUACAAAAACUCCAGACUCAGCCAUCCUGGGGGAGAAACGACCUGAUUGCAGGAGUGGGGGACCACUCCUGUGUGCCCUCUCCCCGAGAGCUGUUCCGUUGCUCAAUAAAAUUAUUAUAGCAUGGUACUGGUACCAAAAUAGACAUACAGAUCAAUGGAACAGAACUGAGCCCUCAGAAAUAACGCCGCAUAUCUACAACUAUCUGAUCUUUGACAAACCUGAGAAAAACAAGCAAUGGGGAAAGGAUUCCCUAUUUAAUAAAUGGUGCUGGGAAAACUGGCUAGCCAUAUGUAGAAAGCUGAAACUGGAUCCCUUCCUUACACCUCAUACAAAAAUUAAUUCAAGAUGGAUUAAAGACUUAAACAUUAGACCUAAAACCAUAAAAACCCUAGAAGAAAACCUAGGCAUUACCAUUCAGGACAUAGGCAUGGGCAAGGACUUCAUGUCUAAAACACCAAAAGCAAUGGCAACAAAAGAUAAAAUUGACAAAUGGGAUCUAAUUAAACUAAAGAGCUUCUGCACAGCAAAAGAAACUACCAUCAGAGUGAACAGGCAACCUACAAAAUGGGAGAACAUUUUUGCAAAAAUAUCCAGAAUCUACAAUGAACUCAAACAAAUUUACAAGAAAAAAAACAAAGAACCCCAUCAAAAAGUGGGCCAAGGACAUGAACAGACACUUCUCAAAAGAAGACAUUUAUGCAGCCAAAAAACACAUGAAAAAAUGCUCAUCAUCACUGGCCAUCAGAGAAAUGCAAAUCAAAACACAAUGAGAUACCAUCUCACACCAGUUAGAAUGGCAAUCAUUAAAAAGUCAGGAAACAACAGGUGCUGGAGAGGAUGUGGAGAAAUAGGAACACUUUUACACUGUUGGUGGGACUGUAAACUAGUUCAACCAUUGUGGAAGUCAGUGUGGCGAUUCCUCAGGGAAUCUGGAGCUAGAAAUACCAUUUGACCCAGCCAUCCCAUUACUGGGUAUAUACCCAAAGGACUAGAAAUCAUGCUGCUAUAAAGACACAUGGACACAUAUGUUUAUUGUGGCACUAUUCACAAUAGCAAAGACUUGGAACCCACCCAAAUGUCCAACAAUGAUAGACUGGAUUAAGAAAAUGUGGCCCAUAUACACCAUGGAAUACUAUGCAGCCAUAAGAAAUGAUGAGUUCAUGUCCUUUGUAGGGACAUGGAUGAAAUUGGAAAUCAUCAUUCUCAGUAAAUUAUCGCAAGGACAAAAAACCAAACACCACAUGUUCUCACUCAUAGGUGGGAACUGAACAAUGAGAACACAUGGACACAGGAAGGGGAACAUCACCCUCCGGGGACUGGUGUGGGGUGGCAGGAGGGGGGACGGAUAGCAUUAGGAGAUAUACCUAAUGCUAAAUGACGAGUUCAUGGGUGCAGCACACCAGCAUGGCACAUGUAUACAUAUGUAACUAACCUGCACAUUGUGCACAUGUACCCUAAAACUUAAAGUAUAAUAAUAAUAAAAUUAAAAUAAAAUAAAAUAAAAUUAUUCUCCA